rnacentral:rRNA from 1 species
GACGAACGCUGGCGGCGUGCUUAACACAUGCAAGUCGAACGAAGAGCGAUGGAAGCUUGCCUCUAUCAAUCUUAGUGGCGAACGGGUGAGUAACGCGUAAUCAACCUGCCCUUCAGAGGGGGACAACAGUUGGAAACGACUGCUAAUACCGCAUACGAUCUAAUCUCGGCAUCGAGGAAAGAUGAAAGGUGGCCUCUAUUUAUAAGCUCUCACUGAAGGAGGGGAUUGCGUCUGAUUAGCUAGUUGGAGGGGUAACGGCCCACCAAGGCGAUGAUCAGUAGCCGGUCUGAGAGGAUGAACGGCCACAUUGGGACUGAGACACGGCCCAGACUCCUACGGGAGGCAGCAGUGGGGAAUCUUCCGCAAUGGACGAAAGUCUGACGGAGCAACGCCGCGUGAGUGAUGACGGCCUUCGGGUUGUAAAGCUCUGUUAAUCGGGACGAAAGGCCUUCUUGCGAACAGUUAGAAGGAUUGACGGUACCGGAAUAGAAAGCCACGGCUAACUACGUG